rnacentral:rRNA from 1 species
GUAGGUGGCAAGCGUUGUCCGGAAUUAUUGGGCGUAAAGCGCGCGCAGGCGGUUCUUUAAGUCUGAUGUGAAAGCCCACGGCUCAACCGUGGAGGGUCAUUGGAAACUGGAGAACUUGAGUACAGAAGAGGAAAGCGGAAUUCCACGUGUAGCGGUGAAAUGCGUAGAGAUGUGGAGGAACACCAGUGGCGAAGGCGGCUUUCUGGUCUGUAACUGACGCUGAGGCGCGAAAGCGUGGGGAGCAAACAGGAUUAGAUACCCUGGUAGUCCACGCCGUAAACGAUGAUGCUAAGUGUUAGGGGGGUUUCCGCCCCCCUUAGUGCUGCAGCUAACGCAUUAAGCACUCCGCCUGGGAGUACGGCCGCAAGGCUG